rnacentral:lncRNA from 1 species
GCACCGGAGGACUUUCUGGCCGCCAAACAAGGUAAAAUUUCUCCCCUUGGCUCGUUUUUUUAUGCUGAACCUCCCUGUGGCGAGCCAAACCACCAGCCCAUUGGCCAAAAAACACCGCCGAAGUCCAGCGGCGCCGCCGUGGAUUUUCUCGAUAUUUGCCUCCGAUGAGGCCCUUCCCGUUUCCCGUUCGAUAUAAUUUUUAUACCACUGUGACCACGUCCUUUUCUCUACAGGUUGACCGGAGCAAAACACCAAAUUGCAACUCACGCCGGAGG